CCUGCCGGUGCCCCUCACUCCCGACCCGCAGCUCCUGCUAGCCCAGACCUGACCCCCCAGCCCUGCCAGUGCCCCUCACUCCCGACCCACAGCCCAGUGGCCCCCCCCAGAUGUGUCUCCGAGCCCCUGAAGUCACUCGUGAGCUGGUGACGCACUCAGUAGGUGCCCUGGGCCCUUGGCCAGGAUUCACACGGAUGCUCUAAUUGUGCUGAUGGGGACAAGGCCUGAGGCUCUUACCCAACCUCCCUUAUGAGAAUAAAGGACCAUCCGCCAACGUGUGUGGGGGGGGCCCUGGGAGCCAGGACUCCUGGGUUCUCUCCCUGACUCAGGGAGGGGGUGGGGUCCAGUCAGUGGUUAAAGCGGGAUGGGACCCAGGUCAGGACUAGGCUCAUUAGCGUCUUUUCAGUAAUGGGGAAACUGAGGCAUGGUGAGAUGUGCCCAGCCCCCCCCCCCCCCCCCAACUAUAUGCAGGUAGUGCCUGGAAUAGAACCCAGGCAUCCGGCUGCCCCCGCCAAUUUCCCCUUGAGCCCCCGCGCCCCUAGAAUCCCCCCAGUUCCCCACUCCUGCCCCCCCCACCUGUGUGCUGGAGUCAAUUAGAGCUAAUUACACCAAUUUUCAGCCCAUUUUCUGACUAAGUGGAAAAGAGAAAUUAGAGGCAAAAUAAAUGAACAAGCCCCCCCCCCGAAUCCGUGGGGGGCGAUUAGCUACACCCCCCCAGGCAUGACGCACCCAUCUGCCUGCAGCCCCUGCCCUGUAUAAAUCCGGUGCCUGAUCCCCCAGCCACAACCAGAGCGGGGCAGAAUUUGAGAUGGGGACCCCUGCUGUGCUCUGCAUCUCUCUGGCCCUGUGGGGCUGCUGGGCGAAUGCACCGGGAUCCCUCUGAUGCUCAAAGACAAACGUGGCUGGACCCUGAACAGUGCAGGCUACUUGCUGGGCCCUC